GAGACCGACAGGAACCGCGAAACGCGCCGGCGGCCGCCCAGAUCCCCGCCGCGCAGCUUGCCGCCGCGUUCGACGAGGGAGCCGGGGCAAGCAAGCCUGCCUAUAGCAUAUAGAGAGACUGGUUCGGGGAUGCGGGCCAGUGGCGCGGCAACGUCGCGGGUAGUGCAGCGGACGCGCAUCUCUACGACGACCCGGAUGCCGCCGCCAUCCCGGCGCGCCUCGACUCCCGCUUCCACGGCGAGAAGGUCGACGCUCAUGCGCCUCCACGCCCUCAUCUAGCAGGGCUUCUACGUCGCUCACCUCUUCCCGCAGCACCAGGCGGUCAAGAACGUGCCGGCAUGGUUGAUCGAGGUGAAGAAGCUCCUCCACCUUUACCUGUUCCACCACGCCGAGAAGUUUAAAUCGGUGUGUAAGUGAAGGUGUAUUUCUCCUUCACGCCUUCGACGUCGACCCCCUUCCCCCUGGUGUAGUACUAUUUAAUCAGGCAGACCCGUUCUGGCCCACAAUGCCAUUUCUCUCUUUCUAAAAUCCAGGAAAUCAGUAUCUUUCAAAAGAUUCAAGGACGUUCGAGGAGUGACCAAAACCAUUGAAAACUUUGCUGAGCGAGGCAAGCAAUCUACUUUGAUCAUGUUGAACCCAUAUUUGCAUUACACUUAUAAUUAAUUUUCAUGCAUAAAUUAUUGUUUACUAGUAUUGCUAUGUUAAGUAAAUUAUCUAGGGUUUAGCUAUGCCAUAUGUCCUUAAUAUUGAACACCCUUUGACAUUCUUAUGCUAAGUUAAUUAGCUAGGGUUUAGCUAUCCUCUAUGUGCUUGAUAUUGACACCCUCCUUUGACAUUCUUAAAACCCCUCCUUUCUAACCAUGUAGUGGUCACAAAUAAAUGUGCGUCAUAUGUGCAAGUUUAAUAGUAAUCCUUAGCCAUGCUAGUCGUGUAAAUCAUAGGACUUGGGAAGAAUCUUUAUUACUCAUAAAUGUUUUACAAAAACCCAAGGGUGUCACUAAUGCCCAUGGGAUGAUUCUGAAAAUAAGGUUUUACAAAAUGGAGAUGAAGUGGAGAUUUAGUUACGUGAUUGCGAUCUUGACGAGAUAGUCAAAGAUGUUCGGUGGAUUAUGAAAAUUUAUGUCUAGUAAAUGAGCAUGGUGGUUAUUAUAUUGGCGGAUAAAUGGAUCUUUAAUGAACUUGAAGCAAUUUGGGUUUAGUUAGGCGAUUAUGAUCUUGAACCAAAUUUUAUGGUGGAUUACGAGAUUUUGAUGCAGUUCAUUGUGAUCUUGAGGAGACAGUCAAAGAUGUUCGGUGGAUUAAUUAAUCUUGGACAAUUUGGAUUUAGUUAGGUGAUUGUGAUAUUGAACCGUAUUUCAUGAUGGAUUAUGAGAUUUUAGGUGGAUUUUGUUACGUGAUUUAAUCUUGAGAAGAUAGUCUAAAAUGUCCGGUUGUUAUGAGAGUUUAGGUAUGGUAGAUGAGCAUGAUGAUUAUUAUGUUGGUGGAUAUAUAGAUCUUUAAUUUUGUUUGGAACAUUUUGGAUUUAGUUAAGUGAUUGUGAUCUUAAACCAAAUUUCACGGUGGAUUAUGAGGUUUUGGUUGGAAUUAGUUAGGUGAGUGUGAUCUUGACGAGCUAGUAAAAAAUGUUUGGUGGAUUAUGUGAAUUUAGGUCUAGUAGGUGAGCAUGGUGGUAAUUAUAUCGGUUAAGUAAGUAAUUUUUUAGUAAACUUGAGAAAAUUUGGAUUUAGUUAGGAAAUUGUGAUCUUGAACCAAAUUUCAUGGGGGAUUACAAGAUUUUAGAUGGAUUUAGUCAGUUGAUUGUGAUCUCGAGGAGAUACUUAAGAUUUUUGAUGGAUUAAUUAACCUAGAACAAUUUGAAUUUAGUUAGGUUAUUGUGAUAUUGAACCGAAUUCCACGAUGAUUUAUGUGAUUUUAGGUGGAUUUAGUUAAGUUAUUAUGAUCUUGAGAAGAUGGUCAAAGAUGUUAGGUGGAUCUUAAGAUUUUAGGUCUGGUACGUGAGCAUGGUGACUAUUAUAUUGGUGGAUAAAUAGACCUUUAAUUUAGUUUGAAACAAUUUAAAUUUAGUUAGAUGAUUGUGAUCUUUUAAGCAAACUCACGGUGGAUUUUGAUGUUUCGGUUAGAUUUAGUUAGGUGAUUGUGAUCCUGACGCAAUAAUCAAUGAUGUUCGAUGGAUUAUGUGAGAAUUUAUGUCUAGUAAGUGAGCAUGGUGGUUAUUAUAUUGGUGGCUCAAUAGAUUUUUAACAAAUUUGGAUUUAGUUAGGCGAUUGUGAUUUUGAACCAAAUUUCAUGGUGAAUUACAGGAUUUUAAAUGGAUUUAAUUAGUUGAUUGAGAUCUUGAGGAGAUAGUCCAAGAUGUUCGGUUGAUUAAUUAAUCUUUUUUUAAUACAGUACAGACGCAAGCGCUCAUACAAACGGGCAUACACUCAUCCCUAUGAAUGCGCACACACACACCCUAUCCCUAUGAGCACCUUCGAGAGACUGAGCCAGCAUAUCAUCUUGAGAUUUUACGAAGUUGCCGUAGGUGCCUCUUAGUCGACGUGAACAAUUUGAAGUUAGUUCGGGGAUUGUGAUAUUGAACCAAAUUUCUCGGUGAUUUAUUUGAUUUGAAGUGGAUUUAGUUAGGUGAUUGUGUUUUGAGAAGAUAGUCAAAAUGCUUGAUGGAUUAUGAGAUUUUAGUUAUGGUAAUGAGCAUGGUGAUUAGGUUUUGGUUGGAUUUAGUUAGGUGAUUGGGAUCAUGACGAGCUAGUAAAAGAUGUAAGGUAGAUUAUGUGAAUUUAGGUCUAGUAGGUGAGCAUUUUGGUUAUUAUAUUGGUGGAUAAAUGGAUUUUUAGAAAACUUAGAAAAAUUUGGAUUUAGUUAGGCGAUUGUGAUCUUGAACCAAAUUUUAUAGUGGAUUAUGAGAUUUCUAAUGGAUUAGUUAGUUGAUUGUGAUCUUGAGGAGAUAGCUAAAGAUAUUCGGUGUAUUAAUUAAUCUUUAACAAUUUGGAUUUAGCUAGGUGAUUGUGAUAUUGACUAAAUUUCUCUGUGAUUUAUGAGAUUUUAGUUGGAUUUAGUUAGGUGAUUGUGUCUUGAGAAAAUAAUCAAAGAUGUUUGGUGGAUUAUAAGAUUUUGGGUCUAAUAACUGAGCAUGGUGAUUAUUAUAUUGGUGGAUAAACAAAUAUUUAAUUUAGUUUGAAACUGUUUGGAUUUAGUUCGGUGAUUAUGAUCUUUUAACCUAAUUUUACGGUGGAUUAUAUGGUUUUGGUUGGAUUUAGUUAUGUGAUUGUGAUCUUGACAAGCUAGUAAAAGAUGUUCGGUGGAUUAUGUGAAUUUAGGUCUAGUAGGUGAGCAUAUUGAUUACUAUAUUGGUGGAUAGAGAUGAGGGCCACACAAGUGACUCAAGGCGAUGAUGCCACUAAUGAAAAUAGUUGGUAAACAAGGCAAAAGAGGAGAGAGUGGGGUAGUGGCAGCCGAUGGACUUUGAUCCAGCAUCGCACGUGCCUGUGCACUCUUCGUUCCCCGCAGUUCGGCUUGGUGUUCUUGUCCUGUUUGCGGAUUUUGUGUCACGCACUUGAUUAAGCAUCCCACGUUCUCCUAAUGUGUGCCCUUAGCCUUGACGAUAGGUAGCGCCGUGUUCUUGGGUGCGCCCCGUGGGUAAAAUUCAGGUAUGCGUCCAUUGUCCGAGCUCUCGCUCACCAUUGGUGGUGCUUGAGCGUGCGGUCAUGGUGUCGCCCAACAAGGGAACAUAGGAUGUGGGAUCAAGACAAAUCCUCUUAGGAAAUAAAGAAGGCAUUAGAGGUAGAAGAAACCUCAAUCUCAAGGAAGUAGCGACUUCUUUAGUAAACAUGGAGCAAUUUGGAUUUAGUUAGGUGAUAUUGAUCUUGAACAAAUUUCAUGGUGGAAUACGGGAUCUUUCAAUGGAUUUAAUUGACAGUGAUCUUGAGGAGAUAGUCAAAGAUGUCUGGUGCAUUAAUUAAUCUUGAACAAUAUGGUUUUAGUUAGGUGAUUGUGAUAUUGAACCAAAAUUCUCUAUGAUUUAUGAGAUUUUAGUUGAAUUUAGUUAGGUGAUUGUGUCUUGAGCUGAUAAUCAAGGAUGUUUUGUGGAUUAUGAGAUUUUAGGUCUAGUAGAGGAGCAUGGUGAUUAUUGUAUUGGUGGAUAAAUAGAUAUUUAAAUUAAUUUGAAACAAUUUGAAUUUGGUAAGGUGAUUUUGAUUUUUUUAGCCUAAUUUUACGAUGGAUUAUAAGGUUCUGGUUGGAUUUAGUCACGUGAUUGUGCUUUUGACGAGGUAGUAAAAGAUGUUCGAUGAAUUAUGUGAAUUUAGGUCUAGUAGGUGAGCAUGCUGAUUAUUAUAUUAGUGGAUAAGUGAAUCUUUAAUAAAUUUGAAACAAUUUGCAAAUUUUGUUAGAUGAUUGUAACCUUGAACCAAAUUAUAUGGUGGAUUAUGAGAUUUUAUGGACUAGUUAGUUGAUUCUGAUGUUCAGAAGAUAUUCAAAGAUGGUUGGAUUAAUUAAUCUUGAAUAAUUUGGAUUUAGUUAGGUGAUUGUGAUAUUGAACCGAAUUUUACGCCGGAUUAUGAAAUUUUAGGUGAACUUAGUUAGGUGAUUGUGUCUUGAGAAUAGUCAAAGAUGUUUGUUGGACUAUGAGAUUUUAGGUUUAGUAGAUGAGAAUGGUGAUUAUUAUAUUGGUGGAUAAAACAGAUCUUUAGUUUAGUUUGGAACAAUUUUGAUUUAGUUAGGUGAUUGCUAUUUAUCAAACAAAUUCACGAUGGAUUUUGAGGUUUUGUUGGAUUUAGUUAGGUGAUUGUGAUCUCGACGAGUUAGUCAAAGAUGUUUGGUGAAUUAUGUUAACUUAGGUCUAGUAAGUGAGCAUGGUGGUUAUUAUAUUGGUGGAUAAAUGGUCCUUUAGUAAACAUGGAGCAAUUUGGAUGUAGUUAGGCUAUUGUGAUCUUGAAUAAAUUUCAUAGUGGAUUACACGAUUUUUAAUAGAUUUAGUUAGUAGAUUGUGAUCUUGGGGAGAUGUCAAAGAUGUUUGGUGCAUUAAUUAAUCUUAAACAAUUUGGAGUUGAUAGAUGAUUGCGAUAUUGAACCAAAUUCUCUGUGAUUUAUGAGAUUUUAGUUGGAUUUAGUUAGGUGAUUUUGUCUUGAGAUGAUAAUCGAAGAUGUUUGGUGGAUUAUGGAUUUUAGGUCUAAUAACUGAGGAUGGCGAUAUUAUAUUGGUGGAUGAACAUAUAUUUAAUUUAGUUAGGUGAUUGUGAUUUUGACAAGCUAGUAAAAGAUGUUCGGUGGAUUAUGUGAAUUUAGAUCUAGUAGGUGAGCAUGUUGAUUAUAUAUUGGUGGAUAGAGAUGAGGGCCACACAAGUGACUCAAGGCAAUGAUGCCACUACUGAAAAUAACUGGUAAACAAGGCAAAUGAGGAGAGAAUAGGGGUAGUGGCAGCAGAUGGACUUUGAUCCAGCAUCCCACGUGCAUGUACACUCUCCGUUCCUCGUUGUCCGUUUUGGUGUUCUUGUCCUGUUUGCGGAUUUUGUGUUACGCACUUGAUUAAGCAUCCCACGUUCUCUUAAUGUGCGCCCUUAGCCUUGACGAUAGGUAGCGCUGUUUUCUCGAGCGUGUCCCGUGGGUAAAAUUCAGGUAUGCGUCGAUUGUCUGUGCUCUUGCUCGCCAUUGGUGGUGCUUAAGCGUGCGGUCAUGGUGUCGCCCAGCAAGGGAACACGGGAUGUGGGAUCAAGACAACACACAUAACAACCCGUGACCAGGCAACGGACACCCGUCCGGACGUUCAGGGAGCGGAGGUGGACACAAAGAUGGAUGUUGAGCUCCAUAGCAGUCUCAAUAGUGUGCUCAUCAGUACGAGCGACACGAGCAGGAAGAUCCUGUAUAUACUCUUAGGAAAUAAAGAAGGCAUUAGGGGUAGAGGAAACCUCAAUAUCAAGGAAGUAGCGACUUCUUUAGUAAACAUGGAGCAAUUUGGAUUUAGUUAGGCGAUUGUGAUCUUGAACAAAUUUCAUGGUGGAUUACGAGAUGUUUCAAUGCAUUUAGUUGAUUGUGAUAUUGAGGAGAUAGUCAAAGAUGUUCGGUAUAUUAAUUAAUCUUGAACAAUAUGGAUUUAGUUAUGUGAUUGUGAUAUUGAACCAAAUUUCUCUGUGAUUUAUGAGAUUUUAAUUGGAUUUAGUUAGGUGAUUGUGUCUUGAGAUGAUAAUCAAAAAUGUUUUGUGGAUCAUGAGAUUUUAGGUCUAGUAGAGGAGGAUGGUGAUUAUUGUAUUGGUGGAUAAAUAUAUAUUUAAAUUAAUUUGGAACAAUUUGAAUUGGUGAGGUGGUUGUGAUCUUUUAACCUAAUUUUACGAUGGAUUAUAAGGUUCUGGUUGGAUUUAGUCAGGUGAUUGUGAUUUUGACGAGGUAGUAAAAGAUGAUCGAUGAAUUAUGUGAAUUUAGGUCUGGUAGGUGAGCAUGUUGAUUAUUAUAUUGGUGGAUAAAGGAAUCUUUAAUAAAUUUGGAACAAUUUGGACUUAGUUAGGUGAUUGUGACCUUGAACCAUAUUUUAUGGUGGAUAAUGAGAUUUUUAUGGAUUAGUUAGUUGAUUAUGAUCUUGAGAAGAUAUUCAAAGAUGGUUGGAUUAAUUAAUCUUGAAUAAUUUGGAUUUAGUUAGGUGAUUGUGAUAUUGAACCGAAUUUUACGCCGGAUUAUGAGAUUUUAGGUGGAUUUAGUUAGGUGAUUGUGUCUUGAGAAUAGUCAAAGAUGUUUGCUGGACUAUGAGAUUUUAGGUUUAGUAGAUGAGAAUGGUGAUUAUUAUAUUGGUGGAUAAAACAGAUCUUUAAUUUAGUUUGGAACAAUUUUGAUUUAGUUAGGUGAUUGCUAUUUUUCAAACAAAUUCACGGUGGAUUUUGAGGUUUUGUUGGAUUUAGUUAGGUGAUUGUGAUCUCGACGAGUUAGUCAAAGAUGUUUGGUGAAUUAUGUUAAUUUAGGUCUAGUAAGUUAGCAUGGUGGUUAUUAUAUUGGUGGAUAAAUGGUCCUUUAGUAAACAUGGAACAAUUUGGAUGUAGUUAGGCUAUUAUGAUCUUGAAUAAAUUUCAUAGUGGAUUACACGAUUUUCAAUAGAUUUAGUUAGUAUAUUGUGAUUUUGGGGAGAUGUCAAAGUUGUUUGGUGGAUUAAUUAAUGUUAAACAAUUUGGAGUUCGUAGAUGAUUGCGAUAUUGAACCAGAUUUCUUUGUGAUUUAUGAGAUUUUAGUUGGGUUUAGUUAGGUGAUUGUGUCUUGAGAUGAUAAUUGAAGAUGUUUGGUGGAUUAUGGAUUUUAGGUCUUAUAACUGAGCAUGGCGAUUAUUAUAUUGAUGGACGAACAUAUAUUUAAUUUAGUCUGAAACGAUUUGGAUUUAGUUAGGUGAUUGUGAUUUUGACAUGCUAGUAAAAGAUGUUCGUUGGAUUAUGUGAAUUUAGGUCUAGUAGGUGAUCAUGUUGAUUAUUAUAUUGGUGGAUAGAGAUGAGGGCCACACAAGUGACUCAAGGCAAUGAUGCCACUACUGAAAAUAACUGGUAAGCAAGGCAAAUGAGGAGAGAAUGGGGGUAGUGGCAGCAGAUGGAGUUUGAUCCAGCAUCCCACGUGCAUGUGCACUCUUCGUUCCUCGUUGUCCGUUUUGGUGUUCUUGUCCUGUUUGCGGAUUUUGUGUCACACACUUGAUUAAGCAUCCCACGUUCUCCUAAUGUGCGCCCUUGGCCUUGAUGAUAGGUAGCGCCGUUAUCGAGCGUGUCCUGUGGGUAAAAUUCAGGUAUGCGUCGAUUGUCUGUGCUCUUGCUUGCCAUUGGUGGUGCUUGAGCGUGCGGUCAUGGUGUCGCCCAGCAAGGGAACACGGGAUGUGGGAUCAAGACAGCACACAUAGCAACCCGUGACCAGGCAACGGCGCCCGUCCGGACGUUCAGGGAGCGGAGGUGGACACAAAGAUGGAUGUUGAGCUCCAUAGCAGUCUCAAUAGUGUGCUCAUCAGUACGAGCGACACGAGCAAGAAGAUCCUGGAUAUACUCCUCUUAGGAAAAAAAGAAGGCAUUAGAGGUAGAGGAAACCUCAAUCUCAAGGAAGUAGCGACUUCUUUAGUAAACAUGGAGCAAUUUGGAUUUAGUUAGGCGAUUGUGAUCUUGAACAAAUUUCAUGGUGGAUUACGAGAUGUUUCAAUGGAUUUAGUUGAUUGUGAUCUUGAGGAGAUAGUCAGAGAUGUUCGGUAUAUUAAUUAAUCAUGAACAAUAUGGAUUUAGUUAUGUGAUUGUGAUAUUGAACCAAAUUUCUCUGUGAUUUAUGAGAUUUUAGUUGGAUUUAGUUAGGUGAUUGUGUCUUGAGAUGAUAAU